GAGGGUAUAGCUCAAGUGGUAGAGCACAUGUUUAAUAUGCACAGGGUCCUGGGUUCAAUCCUCAGUACCUACG
rnacentral:tRNA from 1 species